UACGUAGGGGGCAAGCGUUGUCCGGAAUCAUUGGGCGUAAAGAGCGUGUAGGCGGCCUGAUAAGUCGGCUGUGAAAGUCAAGGGCUCAACCCUUGAAUGCCGGCCGAUACUGUCAGGCUAGAGUCCGGAAGAGGCGAGUGGAAUUCCUGGUGUAGCGGUGAAAUGCGCAGAUAUCAGGAGGAACACCUAUGGCGAAGGCAGCUCGCUGGGACGGUACUGACGCUGAGACGCGAAAGCAUGGGGAGCGAACAGG
rnacentral:rRNA from 1 species